AAUGCAUUCCAAGUUUAUCGAAAGGAGGAGAUGCCGGAGAAGUGGAAUUAUAAGAAGAAUAACAGAACGGCUGAUCUAUUAGCUCUGGCAACUGUUGGCUACGCGUUUCAAGGCAGAAUCAAGUACAUCGAUGAGGACUGGAAAACUCAAUUUUACAAUGUUACUUUGAAGCCAGGGCAGACGUUUGGAGUGCACGGAUAUUCCAAUGAGGAGCCAAGUAUGAGAGCUUUCUUCUUGGCUUGGGGUCCGCUCAUCAAAGAGGACUUCAACCCGGAGCCUUUUGACAAUGUCGAUAUCCAACCUCUCAUUUCGUGUAUGCUGCAACUGCCACCGAUGCCUCAGCACCUCAAGGCAAACGGACACUUGCCAAUGUAGCUUCAAUGCUUCGGAACCCUCCAUCUCAACAUUGCCAACUCAGGAAUCAAGAAAUCGAUGCACAAUGAAAUAAAUUCUUGUAAAACGCGUGUUGUGGUUAUUAUUUUCGACGUUUCGUACGUACUGCAUGGCCUGAACUAAAAACAUUGGAAUACCAUUUUUUCUAGCUGAGCUAUCAAAUAAGGAAAAACUUUGCUGAAUCGAGCUACAGGCCAAAUAAACAACAAAUGCAAGUUGUAGCAUCAUGUGAUUGAAUAUGCUGCAUUCAUUUAUUGUUUUUUUUUUGGCACGUAGCAUCGUUUUUCUUUGCCUAAACUAAAGUAUGUUUGUCAUGUUCAUUCGGUUUGGAUCCUUUUGUCGGAUCCAAAAUAGGGAUCUCCAAUUUCGGUGGAAAUGACUUCCUUAGGUGAAUAAAUAGGAAAACGUUCAAAAUUUGAUACAAAAUUGAGCAAGUUUAUUUUAAACUUAACAACAACAAAGUUUACGCAAACAGAUAGUGAGACAUCGAUUAAAAAAUAUUAAAAGGUGACAAAUAUACUUUUGGCUAAAAUACACCUUGAGAUUCAAGACAAUGAGAUCAAGCGUAAAUAAAGCAUUUGUCUUUUUCAGGAAUAAAAUGUGUGCAGUACGAUAAAACAUUUACAAAUUGACUAUGAGCAUUAGCUCGAGUUUUUUUACAGUAUCUAAAAAAGUGCCGGAGUCAGGCACGGUAUGAAAUCUCUUUCCUAUUUUACGCUGUUACUUUAAAUGAACUAAGGCUCAAGAGGCUUGUGAGCACGCCUAUUAUUGUAAUCUCUUCUAUAAUAAAAAAUCAUCAGAUCAUCGGCAUCUUCAUAAAAAGAAAAGCGGUGCCUAUUCUUCCUCGGCUAGUCAAAAGUCUCAUGAAAGCUGACAGAUAUGAGACGCUUAGCUCACAUUCAUUAUCAUUCAUCGACUGUAUGAGUGAAAACAUUAUUGAACUUAUACCUCUUAAUACUAAUUGACUUUGUAGUAAUUGUAAAAAAUCCAAUCGAGUGGUCUUAAUGCCUUGUCACAGGUAAUGGUUGUAAGUCGAUUGCCGACUCAAACCCUCCGCGAAUAACAUACGAAAGCCACUUGACGUGCAGUUUCUAUUUUUGUGCGCUUAACGCAGCACCUGAACUAACGGCGGAACAUUCGUCUUUGACAGAAGCAGCUCUCUUUCAAAGAGAAAAAAGAGCUAAUACUCGACUGGAUUACAUUUUGCAAUCAGGACUACACUCUCUGGCUCAUUCGGAAAAGCACUCAAGUGCAUAGGGAUAAACUAAAGUUACAUACGUCGUUUCAAAACUAAGCCAGAAAUUGUAGUUCAAAAUUGCAAAAUAUAGUCCAACCAAGCUGACUACCAGAUAUUGAGCUGCUAGGAGGGCAAAAAGUGAAAAAGAGGAGGAUGCCUUAACAUAAUACAAUCCAGAAUCACACGACAAAAUAAAAGUUUACCAGAUAAAAGCGAGCUAUCUCUUAUUUAGAGAUGUUUAAAUACUGUCAUACCCGUGCAAUGUAAUGUGUUUCUUGGAUCUUUAGAGGAUUAAAAAUUGAAUUCUUUCUUGAAAACACCGUUGUCUUCGAACGUUUGGCUGGUUGUCAUCUAUUUGAGGCCCACGAAGCAGGCUCAUUCCACAACGGGUGCUUGACACCACCCUCUCAGAGGCUGGCGCUUGGGUGCGCUGUGUAAGAUACAUUUUUAGAUGUUUCUGCCAGGCUCGUUAAAAAUAUUUUUCACAAAAUCUUGAAGCCGUAUUCAGUGCUUUCCUCAUUCGGGUGCUUCUUCUAGCAUAUUAAUUCAAUCUUAGACAUCCAGGGCUUAAGUCGAACACAUUUCAAGGCACCUGAGAGAGAGACAUAGGCGAAUUAAUAAAUUAGGAAAACAAACUGACGGUGAAAGUGCAAAAAUGCGCAUCCCGGUCGCAGUGUUUCAAAAUCUCCGAUCCAAUUUCAGGUUUUAGAAGGUAUGACCAAACCAACAUUUUGAGUUGAAUUUUUUAUGGAAUAUUCUUUACAUAGAGAAGAAAAUUCACCGACAUUUUCUAGAAAUGGCGUUCAGUAGUUUUCUGUGCAAAAAUGAAGUAAGUCAGGAAGUCUGCAACAUCGCAAACCGAGAUACGCAUUUCUGCAAUUUCUCCUUGUCAAAUGUCCCCAUCAUGAUGGAAAAUCAGAUUUUCCGCGCUUGAUUUUUCGGUGAAAAUAACAUUCUAUCCAUUGCAUG
rnacentral:lncRNA from 1 species